AUCGUAAAACACGAUCUGAGCCG
rnacentral:siRNA from 1 species